rnacentral:misc_RNA from 1 species
UUGUAACACAGGGGGUGCCGGGGCUGUCGCUGACCCUUCAAGGUCGUGCACGUCCUGAGUGCUCUCUCAUUCACAUCCAUCACACCUUUGUGCAUCACCGCGUGGGCCCCUUUCUCUUUUUAAAACAAGGAGGGGGUGCUUGCGUUUUCACACAUACAACACAAUUGCAUAGAAUGUUCACACUUGCGAUCACACGCAAAUUAAUUAAUA